GUUGUAAGGUUAAGAAAUUAAGCGUACACGGUGGAUGCCUAGGCAAUCAGAGGCGAAGAAGGACGUGUUAAUCUGCGAAAAGCAACGGUGAGUCGAUAAAAGGCGCUAUAGCCGUUGAUGUCCGAAUGGGGAAACCCAGUGCAGGUGACUGCACUAUCAUCUGAUGAAUCCAUAGUCAGAUGAGGCGAACCGGGAGAACUGAAACAUCUAAGUACCCCGAGGAAAAGAAAUCAACCGAGAUUCCCUGAGUAGCGGCGAGCGAAAGGGGAGCAGCCCAAGCG
rnacentral:rRNA from 1 species